rnacentral:rRNA from 1 species
CGACGUAGGUAACCUGCCCCUUAGCGGGGGAUAACUAUUGGAAACGAUAGCUAAUACCGCAUAAAAGUCGAUAUCGCAUGAUAUUGAUUUGAAAGGUGCAAUUGCAUCACUAAGAGGUGGACCUGCGUUGUAUUAGCUAGUUGGUGAGGUAACGGCUCACCAAGGCGACGAUACAUAGCCGACCUGAGAGGGUGAUCGGCCACACUGGGACUGAGACACGGCCCAG